rnacentral:misc_RNA from 1 species
GUGAAUCAUCGAAUCUUUGAACGCAAAUUGCACUCUCUGGUAUUCCGGAGAGUAUUUCUGUUUGAGGGUCUGAUUAAAUAAAAAUCGGUGUGGUUGCUGCCUUUCGUGGUGACGCAUUGGAUUUGGGUCGUUUCGCUUUCGGUUAAGUGCUUUAAAAUUUCGUUUGAUUUUUUUAGCAUGUAUUUAAUUGAUUUUAUUUAAGUUUGAGA